AUUGAACGCUGGCGGCAUGCCUUACACAUGCAAGUCGAACGGUAACAGGUCUUCGGAUGCUGACGAGUGGCGAACGGGUGAGUAAUACAUCGGAACGUGCCUAGUAGUGGGGGAUAACUACUCGAAAGAGUGGCUAAUACCGCAUGAGAUCUACGGAUGAAAGCAGGGGAUCGCAAGACCUUGUGCUACUAGAGCGGCCGAUGGCAGAUUAGGUAGUUGGUGGGAUAAAAGCUUACUAAGCCGACGAUCUGUAGCUGGUCUGAGAGGACGAUCAGCCACACUGGGACUGAGACACGGCCCAGACUCCUACGGGAGGCAGCAGUGGGGAAUUUUGGACAAUGGGCGAAAGCCUGAUCCAGCAAUGCCGCGUGCAGGAUGAAGGCCUUCGGGUUGUAACUGCUUUUGUACGGAACGAAAAGCCCCGGGUUAAUACCCUGGGGUCAUGACGGUACCGUAAGAAUAAGCACCGGCUAACUACGUGCCAGCCGCCGCAGUAA
rnacentral:rRNA from 1 species